UUUUUUCCUGUCUGACUUUUCAACUAAAGACAGCCAUUCCACUUCCGGUGUCUUGGUCUUAUCACUGUAACUUGAGCUGAGACUUUACUUCCAUGUCUCCCCCCACCCUCAGGAGUCCUCAGGGUUUCCACUAAAGCCCCCUUUCAUUGAGCCUACAAGCCUUGCUGGGAGGCACAGGCAGCGUCCACCCCGAUGAUGUCCUCCCGCCGGCAUCCCGCAGCCUUCGCCUUCCUGGUUCACCUGUCGCUUACCUGUCUCGCUCUCUCACCUCUGCUGGUCAGCAGAUCUGAAUAUCUCUUUGUGAGGAGUCAGAGAAAGGAGAUGAUGCAAAGAGAAGGAAGCAAAAACAAAACUAAAAGAACUUUGAAGGUAUAUGAGAAGAAAAAGCUGAAAAGAAAAUGUCUGCCUCACUCCCUCAAAAAUUCUACCAUAGAGCAAAGGUUGACGUCCAGAAAACCUCAAGUUUAUCAGUCCCAGAUGCUGGCAGUAGAAGCAUAAAGCUGAGGUGAAUUUUCCUUACUAUUUUUUCCCCAGAGUCUAGAACAGUAACUGCCUCCCAAUGUCUAUCACAGGGACCAGAUUUUCUCCACUACAUAGGAUGUGAUAUGUAGGCAGUUAAAUGGCAUUAUAGACACAAUAAGCAAAAUUGAAACAGAGACACCCUGUUGGAUAAAAUAUUUACAUCGGUGUCCUGUUUCCAAACUGUGGGCUGAGACCUAUAAAUGAGUCAUGAAAUCAACCUUUGUGGGUUGCAACCAGCAUUUUCACAAGAAGGGAUUAAGAAACAACUUCAGAAUGUAUCUUGUGUAGUAACAGUGACUACUGUUUUGCAAAAUGUUUGGGUCAGUUGUACACAUGCAUAUUUUACAGGGUGAUGUAAAAAAAAAAUGUUUUUUUUGAGACAGGGUCUCACUUUGUCUCCCAGGCUGAAGUGCAGUGGCACCGUCAUGGCUCACUGCGGCCUCAACCUCCUGGGCUCAAGCAAUCUUCCUGCCUUAGCCUCCUGUAUAUCUGGGACUACAGGUGUGCACCAUCAUGCCCAGCUAUUUAUUUCAUUUUUUUGUAGAGCCAGGGCCUCACUUUGUUACCCAGACUGGUCUCGAACUCCUGGGAUCAAGCAAUCCUCCCACAUCAGCCUCCCAAGGUGCUGGGAUAACAGGCGUGGGCCACCGUGCCUGGCCUGAAAUGUCUUUUUAACUGUAGGCUGGGGUCCGCAACGUUUGAGAAGCACUGAAAUACAGGGCAAUUUAUUCACUGUCCAAGAACAUUACUUCUAUGAUGUCUUCAGAUAAAUUUGAAAAUAUUUGUCUUACCCAAAAUUCCAGUUACAUAUCCAUUUUCAGGAUACUCUCUUCUGAGUGAGAUAAACUCAACACUGGCAGGUAUAGCAAGAAAACAAAAGACUCUGCCAAAUAUUGCUGCAGGGUGAGAACCACCAGCACAAUGUGGAAAUCCAGUGUAGGUAAAGAUUCGCCCCAAAUGUGUGAUCAGGAAAUAAAACCUGUUAGGUGUCAGUGUCAUGAA